rnacentral:rRNA from 1 species
ACGAACGCUGGCGGCGUGCUUAACACACUGCAAGUCGAGCGGAAAGGCCCUUCGGGGUACUCGAGCGGCGAACGGGUGAGUAACACGUGAGUAACCUACCUCGAACUCUGGGAUAAGCCUGGGAAACUGGGUCUAAUACCGGAUGUUCAUCUCCUGCUGCAUGGUGGGGGAUGGAAAGUGUUUAGCGGUUCGGGAUGGGCUCGCGGCCUAUCAGCUUGUUGGUGAGGUAAUGGCUUACCAAGGCUUUUACGGGUAGCCGGCCUGAGAGGGCGACCGGCCACACUGGGACUGAGGUACGGCCCAGACUCCUACGGGAGGGAGCAGUGGGGAAUAUUGCGCAAUGGGCGGAAGCCUGACGCAGCAACGCCGUGUGAGGGAUGACGGCCUUCGGGUUGUAAACCUCUUUCACCAGGGACGAAGCUUUUGUGACGGUACCUGGGGAAGAAGCGCCGGCCAACUACGUGCCAGCAGCCGCGGUAACACGUAGGGCGCGAGCGUUGUCCGGAAUUAUUGGGCGUAAAGGGCUCGUAGGCGGUUUGUCGCGUCGAAAGUGAAAAUCCCGGGGCUCAACUCCGGACUUGCUUUCGAUACGGGCAGGCUAGAGGUAGGCAGGGGAGAAUGGAAUUCCUGGUGUAGCGGUGGAAUGCGCAGAUAUCAGGAGGAACACCGGUGGCGAAGGCGGUUCUCUGGGCCUUACCUGACGCUGAGGAGCGAAAGCGUGGGGAGCGAACAGGAUUAGAUACCCUGGUAGUCCACGCUGUAAACGUUGGGCGCUAGGUGUGGGAGUCUUUUGUGACGUCCGUGCCGUAGCUAACGCAUUAAGCGCCCCGCCUGGGGAGUACGGUCGCAAGACUAAAACUCAAAGGAAUUGACGGGGGCCCGCACAAGCGGCGGAGCAUGUUGCUUAAUUCGAGGCAACGCGAAGAACCUUACCUGGGUUUGACAUGUGGGUUAAUCCGGCAGAGAUGUCGGGUCCUUUUGGGAACUCAUGCAGGUGGUGCAUGGCUGUCGUCAGCUCGUGUCGUGAGAUGUUGGGUUAAGUCCCGCAACGAGCGCAACCCUCGUCCUAUGUUGCCAGCACGUUAUGGUGGGGACUCAUAGGAGACUGCCGGGGUCAACUCGGAGGAAGGUGGGGAUGAUGUCAAGUCUUCAUGCCCCUUAUGUCCAGGGCUGCAAACAUGCUACAAUGGUCGGUACAAUGGGCUGCGAGACCGUGAGGUGGAGCGAAUCCCUAAAAGCCGGCCUCAGUUCGGAUCGGGGUCUGCAACUCGACCCCGUGAAGUUGGAGUCGCUAGUAAUCGCGGAUCAGCAACGCCGCGGUGAAUACGUUCCCGGGCCUUGUACUCACCGC